rnacentral:lncRNA from 1 species
CAUAGAGGAACAGACAGUUUUAGCCUUAGGGGAUUAGAAGUGCUAACAUCAGAAUGACUUAAAGCUUGUCAUCAGUAUCUCUGCUCUGGGUAACAGUGGAACUGGCUCAGAGCUGGCCACUUUGAGUGACUGCUGGACUUUAAAGCCAAAGGGGACUUGAGAACUGGUCUACAUUGAUUUUCUACUGGCUUCCAUGCUGUUUGGUUUUUGUUAACUUGACAUAAGCCAGAGUCAUCUGAGAAGAGGGAACUUUAAUUCAGAAAAUAUCUCUGACAGGUUGGCCUAUAGGUUACAGUCUCUCUGGGUCGCCAGAGCAAAUGGCCUACUUGAAGCACAUGAGUCACUGGGAGGCACAGUUGCUCAACAGCCAGUUACUGAUGCAAUGACACAUAUGGACCUCAAAGCCAAAGACUAUCUUCUUUCUCGUCAUUUCUACAGCUUUGGAAGUAGCAUUUCCCCCAGGCAUAGCCAC